CAGCCCCGGUGUACCAGCCCCAGCGGCCCCAUAAGCAGCCCCCGGUGUACCAGCCCCAGCGGCCCCAUAAGCAGCCCCCGGUGUACCAGCCCCAGCGGCCAGGUGUGCAACAUAGUGAAGCUUCUAUGUGGGAUGACCUGUUCCUCCCACCACAGCCUCAGAAGUCCCCAGUCUUCCCAACCAAGCAACCCCCAGUCUACCCACACAAGCUGCCACCCAAGGUUCCUCCCCAGCAGCCACACAAGCAACCCCCAGUUUACCCUCCCAAGGUACCUCCCAAGCAACCCCCAGUUUACCCUCCCAGGAUGCCUCCCCAGCAGCCACCCAAGCAACCCCCAGUUUACCCACCCAAGGUACCUCCCCAGCAGCCACCCAAGCAACCCCCAGUCUUGCUGCCCCAGCAGCAGCCAGGUGUGCUCCAAACCAAAGCUGGCAUGUGGCCCUAUGCUCUUGAUUUCAUUGGACAGUCUAGUGACUCAAACCCACAGGGAAAUGUUAAUCCAAGAAGUUUUAGACCAGGCCAAUACAGGUGGCAGCAGCAUGGCAGGCAGCAUCAACCAUAAGCAUCCCAACUGUUCUAGAGCUUUGGAUGGUCCUGGCAUGGCAUUCAACUUUUGUGAAAUGUAAUAAAGUUUUUGAAACUA